CCUACGGGUGGCAGCAGUGAGGAAUAUUGGUCAAUGGGCGCGAGCCUGAACCAGCCAAGUCGCGUGAAGGAUGACUGCCCUACGGUUUGUAAACUUCUUUUAUGAAGGGAUAAAGUGAGGCACGUGUGCCUUUGUGUGUGUACUUUAUGAAUAAGGAGCGGCUAACUCCGGGCCAGCACCCGCGGUAAUACGGAGGGUCCGAGCGUUAUCCGGAUUUAUUGGGUUUAAAGGGAGCGUAGAGAGGUUUUUAAGUGAGUUGUGAAAGUUGGCGGCUACACCGUCAAAUUGCAAUUGAUACUGGCAGUCUUGAGUACAGUUGAGGUAGGCGGAAUUCGUGGUGUAGCGGUGAAAUGCUUAGAUAUCACGCAGAACCCCGAUUGCGAAGGCAGCUUACUAAACCGCAACUGACAUUGAGGCUCGAAAGCGUGGGUAUCAAACAGGAUUAGAUACCCGUGUAGUC
rnacentral:rRNA from 1 species